CAUGCAUGUAUAACCUCCAUAUCAAAGCCUGAUGUUGUCUGAUCUCAGAAGUUAAGCAGGGUUGGGCCUGGCUAGUACUUGGAUGGGAGGCUUCUGGGAAUGCCAGGUGCCACAGGG
rnacentral:rRNA from 1 species